GUUCAUGAUAUACCACAAUAUCAUUUUGAUUUUAUUUCUUUCUUUGAAAUUUUGAGUGCUGCUAAGGAAGAAACUUUACUUGAUAUCAUUGGACAUGUUGUUGAAAGGGAUGUUGUGAAAGAGACAGAUAAAAAUGGAAAAAAAGAAUAAGGUUAUGGAUGUAACUGUUGAGGAUUUAGAGAGGAUUAGGAUUCAUUGCAUUUUGUGGGAUGAUUUUGCAGAGGCUAUGCAUCAAUUUAUGGAGAGCUAUCAAUCAUCCGAGCCAGUUGUCGUGUUACUUCAACUUUGCAAGUUAAAAAAAUAUUUUGGUUA